AGCGCCCGUCACGUCAUGAAAGUCGGUAACACCCGAAGCCGGUGGCCUAACCCCUUGUGGGAGGGAGCCGUCGAAGGUGGGAUCGGCGAUUGGGACGAAGUCGUAACAAGGUAGCCGUACCGGAAGGUGCGGCUGGAUCACCUCCUUU
rnacentral:ncRNA from 1 species